CUUCCCUUGAAUAUAAUAGCAUAAAAAACAAACUGAAAGGUUGCUCAAAGUAACCUGGGGGGAGGAGGCCAAAAGAUGAAUAAGAACUCGCUCUCAACCAUGGGGAAGGCUGGGGGGGCUGCUGAGGAGCUGGGGCAGGUUAGGCACCUUGAUCCUACAGCUAGAGGUGAAGUCCGCAGCACAUGUUCUGAAAGCCCUGCUAUACUAAGCUUCACGAUCUUGGCUUCCGGACAAGAGAGAGAACUUGUGACUGAAAGGGACACUCCAAAAAGAAUUUCAAUGAGGCACAACUUGAGGAAAAACAAUAAGUUGCCCAGAUUGCUUGGAUCAUGGACAGAGGGCUUGGCAUGUGGACUGAAUGUCAUCAGCUGAGAACACAGCCUUGAUUGGUAGCUAUGGAGCCUGCUACCCACGUUGUCCCCUCGGGCUGGCUUCCUGGUGAAUACUCUUUGGUGUCAAGUGCUUGAAAAUUGGCUUCCUGUUCCAUCUCACCACUAGAAUGGCACAUGAGGGAAAUUCCAGAAGAAUUCAAAGGCAAACACCAACAAAGGUACAAGACAAAAUGCAGCUAAACCAAGGAAGAAACCGGGAGACCCCAGGGAGCUCCCUUGUCCCCUCCACCAUGGGAGGACACAGCAAGAAGACCCUGUCUCUGAACCAGGAAGCAGGUUCUCACCGGACACCAAAUCCACCGGCUCCCUAAUCUUGGACUCCCCAGCCUCCAG